rnacentral:rRNA from 1 species
CAGAGAGUUCUUGACAUCCUUUGACCGCUCUAGAGAUAGAGUUUUCCCUUCCGGGGCAAAAUGAGACGUGGGGCGCGGGUGUCUCCUCCUCUCGUCUCGAGAUAUUGGGUUAUAUCCCCCACCGAGCGCGCCCCUUAUUGUUUUUUGCCCUCUUUCUAUUGGGCACUCUCUCAGGACUGCGCGUGAGACACCGGAGGAAAGGGGGGAUGAGAUCUCAUCUUCUUGCCCCUUAUGAGAUGGGCUACACACGUGCUACAAUGGGAAUUACAAAGAGGGGCGAAAACCCGAGGGGAAACUAAUCUCUUAAAACUUUUCUCACUUCUGAUUGUGGGCUGCGCCUCUCCUGUAUGAAACCGGAAUCUCUAUUAAUCUCGGAUAACCACGCCCCGGUGAAAACAUUCUCCGGUCUUGUGUACACCGAGAGGGGGGGGA